rnacentral:rRNA from 1 species
GUUUUUAAAGACCUUCUUAUGAAGGUAUGCUUAAAGAGGGGCUUGCGCCACAUUAGUUAGUUGGUAGGGUAAAAGCCUACCAAGACGAUGAUGUGUAGCUGGACUGAGAGGUUGAACAGCCACAUUGGGACUGAGACACGGCCCAAACUCCUACGGGAGGCAGCAGUAGGGAAUUUUCGGCAAUGGAGGAAACUCUGACCGAGCAACGCCGCGUGAACGAUGAAGUAUUUCGGUAUGUAAAGUUCUUUUAUUGAAGAAGAAAAAGUAGUGGAAAAACUAUAUUGACGUUAUUCAAUGAAUAAGCCCCGGCUAACUAUGUGCCAGCAGCCGCGGUAAGACAUAGGGGGCGAGCGUUAUCCGGAAUUAUUGGGCGUAAAGGGUGCGUAGGCUGUUAGAUAAGUCUAUAAUUUAAUUUCAGUGCUUAACGCUGUCUUGUUAUAGAAACUGUCUUGACUAGAGUGAGAUAGAGGCAAGCGGAAUUCCAUGUGUAGCGGUAAAAUGUGUAAAUAUAUGGAGGAACACCAGAAGCGUAGGCGGCUUGCUGGGUCUUGACUGACGCUGAGGCACGAAAGCGUGGGUAGCAAACAGGAUUAGAUACCCUGGUAGUCCACGCCGUAAACGAUGAGUACUAAGUGUCGGGGUAAAACUCGGUACUGAAGUUAACACAUUAAGUACUCCGCCUGAGUAGUACGUACGCAAGUAUGAAACUUAAAGGAAUUGACGGGACUCCGCACAAGCGGUGGAUCAUGUUGUUUAAUUCGAAGAUACACGAAAAAUCUUACCAGGUCUUGACAUACUCUGCAAAGCUAUAGAAAUAUAGUGGAGGUUAUCAGGGAUACAGGUGGUGCAUGGUUGUCGUCAGUUCGUGUCGUGAGAUGUUAGGUUAAGUCCUAAAACGAGCGCAACCCUUGUCGUUAAUUGCCAGCACGUAAUGGUGGGGACUUUAGCGAGACUGCCAAUUAAACAUUGGAGGAAGGUGAGGAUUACGUCAAAUCAUCAUGCCCCUUAUGAUCUGGGCUACAAACGUGAUACAAUGGCUGUGACAAAGAGUAGCUGAAACGCGAGUUUUUGGCCAAUCUCAAAAAAGCAGUCUCAGUUCGGAUUGAAGUCUGUAACUCGACUUCAUGAAGUUGGAAUCGCUAGUAAUCGCGAAUCAGC